UUUUCUCUGCUAAGGAGAAUUACCCUGGAACUGGAAAUAAUAGAACAGAAAUGGCUGAUGGAUAAUUGAUUCUUUAGAAAAUGAAGGAGAUAUUGAAACAGCACCUACCUCCACUUGACAAAGUCAUCACCUGGAGCAAAUGGACUAUAUCCUCAGAUGAGUAAUUGAAGACACAUGGAGUUUAAAGACCUGAUCAGUGUCACACAACUAGAGGAAGACCUUUGGCCUGGGAAGACCUGAACCAGAGUGGCUAAUAGGGAGUCAAUACCCCAGAAAAGUAAAGAGAGUACAAGAGCACAGGAGGCAUUCUCUUACUGAGUUCAAGUUACCAAGCCCUGUCAAACUUCCAGCUAGGGUACUAGGAAAAAAAAAAACCUGGCAGAUUUAAUUACUGAAUUAUUGUCAAUGGUUUUUGGAGAGGUGGUAUAGGACUAGAGACCUGCAGAUAUUGUCUUUAUUUUCACAAAAGAGAAAGGGAACAGACCCUGAAAGCUAAUGGCUAGUGAUGUUGACCUUAAUUCCUGGCAAAAUGCUGCAAUAUAUUAUUAGAGGAAUGUUUAUUAAGCCCAGAAAUGAUGAUCUCAAAGUCAGCAUGGUGUUAGCAAGAACAGGUCGUGUCAGACUAACCUCAUCUAAUUUUUUGACAAGUUAACUGGACUAACUAUUAACUGUAGAUCAGGGGAAUUGUGUAGAUAAAUAUUUACCUGGAUUUCCAGCAAAUCUUUUCCUAAAGUCUCUCAUGUUAUUUUUGUUAAAAGAUUGUAGGCCAGACAAUAAUACAGAUAAAGUGGAUCUGAAUGGCUAGACCUGCAGAAUAGUUAUGAAUAGGUCAGCUUCAACUUUAAAGGAGUCUUAUUUAUUAAUGACACAAAUGUACAUAGCAUACUUAACAUGUUGGAUGCCAG